AUGACCAAUGGGAUUCCUUAAGUAAUUGCGAAUGAACAAGGAAAUGCUCAGCUUGAAAAAUGGGGCCUUUGGCUUUGAAUUGUAAUUUUGAAAUGUAUUGCCAAUGGAGGCGCAGGUGCAAGCCUAUUGAAAGAAAGCGUCAACGAGGGUGAAAUUCCUUUUUGUCAUUUGCAGUCCUCCGUGCACGGUAUAUAUUUGACGAGUCACACUCCUCGGCAUUGGAAUGCAAAGUGGGUGGUAAAUUCCAUGUAAAGGUAAAUAUAUUAUUGAGACUGAUAGCAAACAAGUACCAUGAGGGAAAUAUGAAAAGGACUUUGAAAAGGGAAUUAAAAGAGUCUGCAUUUGCUGAACAGAAAGCAAACAGAAUUGAUGUGCUUGGUGAGAUUGUUGUGCCCACUCUGUCAUUUAUGUCGGAUGUGGGUGCGAUGGUUCUUACCUUGAAUGUCAGCUUCUAUUUCUGCAAAUCAUUACCCUUGCACAUGAAUGGUAAUUUGCCUGCGGGUAUUGGAAUGUAUGUGUUUGCAAUGAUUUGUGAUUUGAUGCAUGUGGUUGGUGGACUUUGUAUGUGCUGUUUUGCCAACGGGGAAGGGACUCUUCCUUGAGCACUGCAAGCCCUUGCACAUUGAUGCUGGCAAAAUGUUUCUGCUUGACCCGUCUUGAAACACGGACCAAGGAGUCUAACAGAUGUGCAAGUGCGUGGGUGGCAAACCUACUAACACAAUGAAAGUAUUGGCUGGGAUAUUUGCACCAGCAGCCGACUGAUUAGCAGACAGAGGUUUGAGUUUGAGCAUAUCUAUUAGGACCCGAAAGAUGGUGAACUAUGCCUGAACAGAAUGAAUUCAGAGGAAACUCUGAUGGAGGUUCGUAUCGAUACUGACGUGCAAAUCGUUCGUCAUACUUGGGUAUAGGGGCGAAAGACUAAUCGAACCAUCUAGUAGCUGGUUCCCUCCGAAGUUUCCCUCAGGAUAGCUGGAGUUGCACAGUUUUAUCAGGUAAAGCGAAUGAUUAGAGGAAUUGGGGACACGCUGUCCUUGACCUAUUCUCAAACUUUAAAUGGGUAAGAUGCAAUGGUUGCUUUAUUGAACUUUUGGAAUAAAUGGCAAUAUCAGGUGGGCCAUUUUUGGUAAGCAGAACUGGCGAUGAGGGAUGAACCUAACGUUGGGUUAAGGUGCUUAAUUGCUUGCUCAUUAGAUACCAGAAAGGGUGUUGGUUCAUUUUAACAGCAGGACGGUGGUCAUGGAAGUCGAAAUCCGCUAAGGAGUGUGUAACAACUCACCUGCCGAAUGGACUAGCCCCGAAAAUGGAUGGCGCUCAAGCGGGUGACCGAUACCCAACCACUGUUGGAAAUAGUAUCAGUGUGUAGGAGGGCAUGGCGGUUUGUGAUGCAGCCUUUGG
rnacentral:rRNA from 1 species